UCGAGAAUGAUAUUUUUACUUAAUAGAGUGGGCAUAAUGCUGUAUUUUAAUAGAUUAGUUAAAAGAUAAUUCUUAAUCGCAGAUUUGUUGUUUUCAACGACCCAGAUUUCGAGUAUUAAACACUGGUUGUAAGAAAAGAGCGCUGUACUCGUCAUAUCAAGUAGUAGCUUGAGAGCAGUCGUGGCGUCUACUUCUAUCAAAUCAAACAGUUAACAGGCUCACUGUCUCAUCCUCAGCAGCCCCAAUGAGUUAUUCUUUCAAUCCUAAUCUCUACACAAUGGACAGUUUUAAAUACACUGCAACUAAGAGCAUAUCUAGAUGGAUGUAAAUAAGCCUGCAUAAAUAGGCCACAAAGUAAUAAAAAAAUUAU